rnacentral:rRNA from 1 species
GAUGAACGCUGGCGGCGUGCCUAAUACAUGCAAGUCGAGCGAACAGACGAGGAGCUUGCUCCUCUGACGUUAGCGGCGGACGGGUGAGUAACACGUGGAUAACCUACCUAUAAGACUGGGAUAACUUCGGGAAACCGGAGCUAAUACCGGAUAAUAUAUUGAACCGCAUGGUUCAAUAGUGAAAGACGGUUUUGCUGUCACUUAUAGAUGGAUCCGCGCCGCAUUAGCUAGUUGGUAAGGUAACGGCUUACCAAGGCGACGAUGCGUAGCCGACCUGAGAGGGUGAUCGGCCACACUGUAACUGAGACACGGUCCAGACUCCUACGGGAGGCAGCAGUAGGGAAUCUUCCGCAAUGGGCGAAAGCCUGACGGAGCAACGCCGCGUGAGUGAUGAAGGUCUUCGGAUCGUAAAACUCUGUUAUUAGGGAAGAACAAAUGUGUAAGUAACUAUGCACGUCUUGACGGUACCUAGUCAGAAAGCCACGGCUAACUACGUG